CCUACGGGAGGCAGCAGUGGGGAAUAUUGCACAAUGGGCGAAAGCCUGAUGCAGCGACGCCGCGUGAGGGAUGACGGCCUUCGGGUUGUAAACCUCUUUCAGCAGGGAAGAAGCGAAAGUGACGGUACCUGCAGAAGAAGCGCCGGCUAACUACGUGCCAGCAGCCGCGGUAAUACGUAGGGCGCAAGCGUUGUCCGGGAUUAUUGGGCGUAAAGAGCUCGUAGGCGGCUUGUCACGUCGGAUGUGAAAGUCCGGGGCUUAACCCCGGGUCUGCAUUCGAUACGGGCUAGCUAGAGUGUGGUAGGGGAGAUCGGAAUUCCUGGUGUAGCGGUGAAAUGCGCAGAUAUCAGGAGGAACACCGGUGGCGAAGGCGGAUCUCUGGGCCAUUACUGACGCUGAGGAGCGAAAGCGUGGGGAGCGAACAGGAUUAGAUACCCUGGUAGUCCACGCCGUAAACGUUGGGAACUAGGUGUUGGCGACAUCCACGUCGUCGGUGCGCNGCUACGACAUUAACGUUACCCGUCCGUCGGGAGGUACGGCCGGCGACGGACGUAAACGUUAAACGUAGUAAGUUAGUACGGUUCGUUGUAGACGUUGCCGACGGCGACGACGAGGGAGGUUAGG
rnacentral:rRNA from 1 species